GGCCAACGACCGCAGUAAGAUAUGUCCAUAGUUGUUAUCACAAUCAUCGUUCUCGUGUUAAUAGGAAUAGUUCGACAAUUCUCAACGUCCGGAUAAAAGAUUUUAAAAUAUUGUCAUGCGCAUUACCUGUUUCUCCACCAUUCUUCUCAUCCUACAGUACAUCCAAAUGUUAUUACUGGUGAGAUGUUUGCCUCCCUGGCAGACAUGGAGAGCCUUAUAUCAACUGAAAUGGAGCUCGCAAGGCAUCUUGAAAAUUACAUUCAAGAAGAAGAAAUUAGACUUAAACAACUAAGAGGAUUCCUGGAAAAAUAUGAAACCAUGUAUCAAGAAGCAAGUGAAGACGUGUCUAAGUAUUUGGCUAAUCCAGUCAAUGCUUACUUACUAGUCAAACGCCUCACCUCUGAUUGGAGGCAGGUCGAAGGAGUUAUGGUG